AUUAGAUGGCCUAUAUAUAGUAAUUACUAGAUGUGUGCAGACCAGUAACAGAUCCUCUAAGUGAUGGAUUCAUUGUACUGGGCAGCACAGAUGCUUUCCAAUUCACUUACUUGUUUAACCAAAAUUUACUGUGCGCCUACGAUAUCCUAACACUGUGUUCAGCAUGAAAGCCUUAAAGGCCAAAAAGCCUGAAGGGGAAGCAAAGAGCCUUAAAAAAUCUACACAACCAACACUAAGAAGCAUGGGCUGUGAGGAAGGAUCCACGGAGGUUGGAUGAGAGCAGAAAGCAGAAGCUCUGCAGGAAGUGAGGAAGACUGCAGAAAAGACUUGAGAUGAAUAGGAAUGUGCUGGAGGGCUGGGGAAGUAUCUUGCAAAGAGACGGGCUAUUACAAAGCCCGCUGUAUUUUUAGUAGAGACGGGGUUUCACCGUGCUGGCCAGGCUGGUCUCGCUCUCUUGACCUCGUGAUCUGCCCGCCUCAGCCUCCCAAAGUGCUAGGAUUACAGGCAUGAGCCACCUCACCCAGCCCAGCUACUCGGGAGGAUGAAGCAGGAGAAUUGCUUGAACUCGGCAGGUGGAGGUUGCAGUGAGCCAAGAUUGUACCACAGCACUCCAGCCUGGGCGACAGAGCGAGACUCUGUCUCAAAAAACAUGCAAACAAACAAGCAAACAAACAAAAAACAAAGCCUGCUGGUUCUCAGGGAACACGGACCACUCAAGGUAUGGGAACAGAGUGGAGUUCAGGCAGAAGCAGGUGCAGUGAGAAGCAGAUGCAAUCGUAAGUGUCAUGCUAGCAUUCAACUGGGCCUGAGAGAUGGAGAGAUUUUUAAGCAGAAGAGAGACCUGGUUAGAUCGGUGUUUUGGAAAGCUCGCCAUGAAAGCUCCAUGCAAGAAGGACCAGAGAGUGGAGGCCGAAGCAGAAGAUGGGAUAAAAAACAACCCCAAAGGGUGUGCAGACUCCAGACGGAAAUCAAAAAAGUAAAGAACAGAACUCUGCAAAUGAUCCAGCAUGAUGAUAAGAGAGAGUGAGAGAGGCCAACUUUGGCUAAAUAAAACAGAUUUUGAUGUGUCGUUUUACACAACAAAAUAAUUUCAGAGAAGCUCUUGCAAUUAUGAAAUAUUAUUUACAUGUUUAACAAAUCCAGAUGAAGAACUUUUCAAAACUCUAUGGGAAGCAGCAGGGUCAAGAUGCAGGAGCUGGGAGACGGUCGUUUGAAUGGUCUUAUAUUCUUCUACCAGUUGAAGGAGCUUGGAAGAUCUUGCUGAACUUCAGCAUAUGUGAAAUGAAUUUGGAGCUACCUGAGUAUUCCAUCUCAUGAUGUUGAUAAAAGAACCAAGUGAAACAGCAUGUAGUGAACAAUUUUGUAAGUCCUAAGUAAAUACACAAAUGUAAUGUGGAGUAUAAUCAUAGCUUUAGGAAGCAUUGGCUGUUAUUAAAAGUCUCUAUAAUGGCAAUAAAGCAAGUUGAUGGGCUUUCUGAG
rnacentral:lncRNA from 1 species